rnacentral:ncRNA from 1 species
GUAAUCAGCGAUUAGGCAAUUUGCAGAACCGUCACUGCUAAAGUGAUUACGCUUCUGAAGAAAUACGCGGAGCGUUUGUGUAUGAUGAAAAUCUGCAAGAGGUAUUGAGUAAACAAAUACGGACAAAGGCUGAAUGAAAACGCUCUUCAUUCGGUUUUUU